UGACAAGUGUAUAAUAUUCCUAGGAUAUACG
rnacentral:piRNA from 1 species